rnacentral:rRNA from 1 species
CACGUAGGGCGCAAGCGUUGUCCGGAAUUAUUGGCGUAAAGCGCGCGCAGGCGGCUUCUUAAGUCUGAUGUGAAAUCUCGGGGCUCAACCCCGAGCGGCCAUUGGAAACUGGGAAGCUUGAGUACAGAAGAGGAGAGUGGAAUUCCACGUGUAGCGGUGAAAUGCGUAGAUAUGUGGAGGAACACCAGUGGCGAAGGCGACUCUCUGGGACGGUACUGACGCUGAGACGCGAAAGCGUGGGGAGCGAACAGG